GAACUGAAGAGUUUGAUCAUGGCUCAGAUUGAACGCUGGCGGCAGGCCUAACACAUGCAAGUCGAGCGGCAGCACGGGUACUUGUACCUGGUGGCGAGCGGCGGACGGGUGAGUAAUGC
rnacentral:rRNA from 1 species